rnacentral:rRNA from 1 species
ACGCUCGACACCUACGGAGGCAGCAGUGGGGAAUAUUGCACAAUGGGGGAAACCCUGAUGCAGCGACGCCGCGUGAAGGAUGAAGUAUUUCGGUAUGUAAACUUCUAUCAGCAGGGAAGAAAAUGACGGUACCUGACUAAGAAGCCCCGGCUAACUACGUGCAGCAGCCGCGGUAAUCUGAGCGGGCUGGCAAGGC